CACCACUCGUCGCUACUACUAAUUGAAUGGUCUACUGAAGUCGUUGGAUUAGUGUCGUUGUAGUGGCCUUGUCGCUCGACUGAUUCUGAGAUGACCUAAUUUGAUUAGUUAGAGGUAGUAAAAGUCGUAACAAGGUUUCUGUAGGUGAACCUGUGGAAG
rfam:Schistosoma haematobium scaffold558_13, whole genome shotgun sequence.